rnacentral:rRNA from 1 species
UACGUAGGGACCGAGCGUUGUCCGGAAUCAUUGGGCGUAAAGAGCGUGUAGGCGGCUUGUUAAGUCUUGCGUGAAAUCUCGGGGCUCAACCCCGAGCGGUCGUGAGAAACUGGCAGGCUAGAGUGCGGGAGAGGAGAGUGGGAAUUCCUGGUGUAGCGGUGAAAUGCGCAGAUAUCAGGAAGAACACCCGUGGCGAAGGCGGCUCUCUGGAACGCAACUGACGCUGAGACGCGAAAGCGUGGGGAGCAAACAGG